UACGGAGGGUGCAAGCGUUGUCCGGAUUUAUUGGGUUUAAAGGGUGCGUAGGCGGUUCUUUAAGUCAGCGGUGAAAGUCCAGAGCUCAACUCUGGGAUUGCCAUUGAUACUGAAGAACUUGAGUAUAGUUGAGGUAGGCGGAAUUGACAGUGUAGCGGUGAAAUGCAUAGAUAUUGUCAAGAACACCGAUUGCGUAGGCAGCUUACUAAGCUAUAACUGACGCUGAGGCACGAAAGCAUGGGGAGCGAACAGG
rnacentral:rRNA from 1 species